rnacentral:rRNA from 1 species
UAUGCUUAACACAUGCAAGUCGAACGGUAACGAUGGAAGCUUGCUUCCAGGCGACGAGUGGCGGACGGGUGAGUAACGCGUAGGAAUCUGCCUAGUAGUGGGGGACAACUCGGAGAAAUCCGAGCUAAUACCGCAUACGCCCUACGGGGGAAAGCGGGGGAUCUUCGGACCUCGCGCUAUUAGAUGAGCCUGCGUCGGAUUAGCUUGUUGGUGAGGUAAUGGCUCACCAAGGCGACGAUCCGUAGCUGGUCUGAGAGGACGAUCAGCCACACUGGGACUGAGACACGGCCCAGACUCCUACGGGAGGCAGCAGUGGGGAAUAUUGGACAAUGGGCGCAAGCCUGAUCCAGCAAUACCGCGUGUGUGAAGAAGGCCUGCGGGUUGUAAAGCACUUUCAAUUGUGAAGAAAAGCCUAGAGUUAAUAGCUCUGGGUCUUGACGUUAACUUUAGAAGAAGCACCGGC